UACUCUUUUCACUCAGCUGAGAAUUUUGGGGCUUUAGGGAUCAUACGUGCUGUGCUUCAAUUGAUUUUAUUUGCUUUCCAUGGGUGAUUGGUUAGUCUCUAGAUUUCGAAAGGCAUAUAUAUAUAUAUAUAUAUAUAUAUAUAUAUUCAUCUGUAUAUGAAUUUUGGUUGGCUAACCACCUUAUGCAGCGCGGGAGCGUCCGGCAAUGAACAACUCAGGACUAAGUUUAGCUACCAUCGAGCCACUCAAUGGACACAACUUUAAGAAGUGGAGGUCUGAUAUUGAGCUGUACCUGGGGUUGAACAAUAUUGAUAAUUGUUUAACCGAAGAGGCGCCUGUGAUCACUAAUGCGAGCACAGCCCAGGAUAGGAUGAAGUCUGUUGAGUGGAUUAGAGCCAAUAGGAUGUCUCUGUUGAUUAUGAAAAGGCUUAUGAGUGAUGCUGUGAAGGGUAGCUUCCCAGAUAAGGCAACGGCAAGAGAGUAUCUGGACUCAAUUGCAGAAAUGUUCAAAGAGAAUGAAAAAGUUGAAACUAGCAUUCUGUUGAGCACCCUGAAUAAUCUGAAGUAUACUGCUUCUGUGGGGAUUAGGGAGCACAUAAUGAAGUUCAUUGAUGUUGCUGCAAAGCUGAAAGACUUAAACAUGCCUCUGCAAGACCAGCUUAUAGUUCACCAAGCCCUGAAUUCUCUGCCUAGUCAGUUCAACCAGCUGAGAAAACCACCUAUGCUGCCCAGAAAGAUAAGUGGAGCCUGAAUGAGCUUAUUGCUGUGUGUGUGCAAGAAGAGAGCAGAAUUAAAAGUGAGAAGGAAGUGACAAGGGAUGUGAAUCUGAUCAGUAAGCCACAGUGGCAGAAGAAAAAGGGUAAAGCUGUGGUUGAUUCUAGCAAACCAUCUACUUCAGGAGUUAAGAAACCUUUUCAGGCCAAGGGUAAGGGAAAAUUCAAGUGCUUCUUUUGUAAAAAGGAGGGGCACAUGAAGAGGGAUUGCAACUCAUACAAGAAGUGGAUUGCAAAGAAAUCAGGGGUAUCUAAGGAGCAUGAUAGGAGCAUUUUAAUGCGACGUUUUAACUUCAUUUCCUACAUU